GCUGGGCGCAGUGGCACACACCUGUAAUCCCAGUGACUUGGGAGGCUGAGGCAGGAGGAUCACAAAUUCAAAGCCAGACUCGGCAAUGGUGAGGUGCUAAGCAACUCAGUGAGACCCUGUCUCUA
rnacentral:sRNA from 1 species